rnacentral:rRNA from 1 species
GUGAGGAAUUUUCCGCAAUGGGCGAAAGCCUGACGGAGCAAUGCCGCGUGAAGGAUGAAGGCCUAUGGGUUGUAAACUUCUUUUCUCAGAAAAGAAUUAUGACGGUAUCUGAGGAAUAAGCAUCGGCUAACUCUGUGCCAGCAGCCGCGGUAAGACAGGGGAUGCAAGCGUUAUCCGGAAUGAUUGGGCGUAAAGCGUCUGUAGGUUGUUUAAAAAGUAUUCUGUCAAAGAUUAGGGCUUAACCCUAGAUAGGCAGAAUAAACUUUUAAGCUAGAGUUUGGUAGAGGCAGAGGGAAUUCCCGGUGGAGCGGUGAAAUGCGUAGAUAUCGGGAGGAACACCAAAGGCGAAGGCACUCUGCUGGGCCAAUACUAACACUGAGAGACGAAAGCGAGGGGAGCAAAUGGGAUUAGAUACCCUAGUAGUCC